UGGGGGGCCUGCCCCCACCCCUCCUCUGACACCCCAGACUAUAAUUCUGGCUGAGUCACUCUGGCCCCACAGACCAGAGCCCCCAGGGAGCAGAACUGAGGUUUCUUCAGUCACCUCUCUAUAGAGUGUCUCUGCUGGGCUUUCCUGCAACAAGUAAAAAUAAGCUUAUCAUGAUUACCUUCAAUAACACGUGGGCCUCAUCCAUUCAAUGGAAGAACUUAAGAGCAAAAAAACCUGAGUUUUUCUGGGGAAGAAGGAACUCUGCCUCAAGACUGUAACAUAGAAAUCCUGCCUGAGUUUCCAGCCUGCCCUACAUAUUUCGGACUCGUCCGUCCCCACAAUUGUAUGAACCAAUUCCUUAAAGUAAACCUCUUAA